rnacentral:piRNA from 2 species
UACUAGUGGAAUAAACCAGCAGUUUCUUGGA